CUGGUGUUUUUAGCCCUUUUGAACAGAUAUUAAUUGCUUGUUGUUAUGUUGUUCUCACUGUCACAGUUUAAUAAGGGUUGGGUUAACGCAGUAAAACAUCUUUAAAUCCUUCACAUUCUUAGCGACUGUCCUAAGUCGAAUUCGUGAGCCUGAAGUUCAAUGUAUACUUCAUAAAUUAUUUUGUAAAAUUUUUUUUUUCCUUUGUUGCUUACAUUAUUAAAUUUGGUGAAUUGACAAUCAUACCUUAUCUCUAUUUUUAUAAUGCACAAAAACAGACUACCCUCACUUAGUGCCUAUCAUUAGAAUAUUCAACUAAAAGCCAGCCAAAUAACAAAUUAAUUUUUUUCCUGACUUGAAUGAUCAAUUUGUUAAAAACUUAAAAGAUUCCAUUAACUGUUUGCUCAAUAUUAAGUGGCAAAAUAUAUCACCAUUCAACUAAGAGGUUCAGCCAAGAGCAGAACAGGGUCAAACCAAGAUAAGGUAGAAA
rnacentral:lncRNA from 1 species